UACAGAGGGGGCAAGCGUUGUUCGGAAUUACUGGGCGUAAAGGGCGCGUAGGCGGCCUUCUAAGUCGAACGUGAAAUCCCCGGGCUUAACCCGGGAACUGCGUCCGAUACUGGAAGGCUUGAAUCCGGGAGAGGGAUGCGGAAUUCCAGGUGUAGCGGUGAAAUGCGUAGAUAUUGGGAAGAACACCAGCGGCGAAAGCGCGCUACUGGGCCAUUACUGACACUCAUGGACGAAAGCUAGGGGAGCGAAAGGG
rnacentral:rRNA from 1 species